rnacentral:rRNA from 1 species
UACGUAGGGUGCGAGCGUUAAUCGGAAUUACUGGGCGUAAAGCGUGCGCAGGCGGUCUGUUAAGACCGAUGUGAAAUCCCCGGGCUUAACCUGGGAACUGCAUUGGUGACUGGCAGGCUUUGAGUGUGGCAGAGGGAGGUAGAAUUCCACGUGUAGCAGUGAAAUGCGUAGAGAUGUGGAGGAAUACCGAUGGCGAAGGCAGCCUCCUGGGCCAACACUGACGCUCAUGCACGAAAAGCGUGGGGAGCAAACAGG